rnacentral:rRNA from 1 species
GUAGUCUCGCACAGAUGCAUAUCAAUAAGCGGAGGAAAAGAAACUAACAAGGAUUCCCCUAGUAACGGCGAGUGAAGCGGGAAGAGCUCAAAUUUGAAAUCUUAAAGGGUUUCCCUUUACGAAUUGUAGUUUAAAGAAGUGUUUUCUGUUGAGGUUUUGGUAAAAGUUCUUUGGAAUAGGACAUCAUAGAGGGUGAGAAUCCCGUAUUUGACCUUUACUUUCAACUUUGUGAUACACUUUCAAAGAGUCGGAUUGUUUGGGAAUGCAGUCCAAAAUGGGUGGUAAAUUUCAUCUAAAGCUAAAUAUUGGCGAGAGACCGAUAGCGAACAAGUACCGUGAGGGAAAGAUGAAAAGAACUUUGAAAAGAGAGUUAAACAGUACGUGAAAUUGUCAAAAGGGAAGCGUUUGACACCAGUGUGUUGUUUUUUCUGAAAAUCAAUUAAAGAACUGUUUAUGCUAAGUUGUUUAGACUUUAUCAGCUAACUGUUUAGUUUUGAGCUUUUCUUUAAUGCACUUUUCAGUUAACAAGUCAACAUCAAUUUCUGUUGCUGUAAAAAAGCUUGAGGAAGGUGGCUUGAGAUUCGUCUUAAGUGUUUAUAGCCUCUUGCCUAUGCAGUCGGAGAGAUUGAGGUCUGCAGCGUAGAUCCUUCGGGACUAAAUGCAUUUGUGCUAAGUUAUAACAUUUUAUAGACAACUUGUUGACUAUGAUUUGUCUUGUAGCUUACUCGCUUAUGUUAUUCUACCUACGCUUAGGAUGUUGAUCUGUAGUGCGUGCGC